rnacentral:rRNA from 1 species
GAGUCAGACCUGCCCAGUGAACAUAUUUUAACGGCCGCGGUACUCUGACCGUGCAAAGGUAGCAUAAUCAUUUGCCCUAUAAUUGAGGGCUAGUAUGAAUGGUUUGACGUGAACAAAACUGUCUCUAUGUAAUUUUGUAGAACUUGAUUUUUAGGUGAAGAAACCUAAAUGUUAUUGAAAGACAAGAAGACCCUAUUGAGCUUUAAAAGAGUAAAUUGAAAAUAAUAUAUAAUUUUAAAUAUUAGUCUAUUAAACAUUUUGGUUGGGGCGACUAUGGAACAAAUAAAGCUUCUUUAUUAUAAAUAAAACUCACAAGUAUUGAUCCAGAAGUUUUGAUCAAUGGAAUUAGUUACCAUAGGGAUAACAGCAUAAUUCUCUUUGAGAGCCCUCAUCGAAAAGAGAGUUUGUGACCUCGAUGUUGGACUAGAAUAUCCUAAAGAUGUAGCAGUCUUUAAGGGUUGGUC